CAGUCACUCUUACGUGUUACAAGCCAAACCCUCCUCUACCUUGGGAAGAAAGGGAGGGCGAGAUCUGCCUGGCUCUUUUCAGCAGCUAACGCAGAUGGAUUUGCUUUGGCGUUUAAGGGUGAUGGAUGUGCCAGGUGCUAUUCAUUAGAAAUGAUUUGCUGGGGCCAGCGUAGCUCGCCUGCCCAUUAGGACGCAUAUACUUCACAGGGAACGGGGUGGCAUCGGCUGGAGAGAUUCAAGCAUCCAGGCUGAGAAAUGGCUCGUCUUCUUGCUCAACUGCGCCCGUGGCCACCGCGCUGGCCUGGGACUCUCGGAGUGGUGGCCGUCACUACUAUCAGCAAGACUCAGUAACCCCUUUAUUUCUCCCUCAACUAAACUAGACAAGAAUAAUUCUUUUCUCCCAGCCUUUAUCUUCCUAUCUGAGCUACAAGUGCCUUUAUCUCACAUGUUCCCGUACAGUUCCUAGCACAGCAGGACCCCGCUCUCUGUACUUGAAACGCAGGAGGGCUGACUAACAAUUAUGGAACAGAGACACAGGUAGGAAAAGGCAGACUGGAAGCUGUCUGGUGGCUUUAUUAAGUCAUACAAAGCUAUGGCACUUAUCGACUCGUUGGCACCGGUACAACGUGAUGCCCAGAUGGAAGGUUUUCAUAGUAAGAAGAAAGCACGUAAAUACGGGCAAGUUUGCUUGCACGCCAGCCCUGCCAAGGAGGAAACACCUCUUGCAGUAUCUCCAUGGGUUUGCAGAGCAAACAAAAGUGUUAUUUCAUCUCAGGAGCACAGAGGCACGCCAAGCAUCCUCACAGCCCGCACCAGGGUGUGCGCUAAGUGAGCAUCUGCAGAGGCAGCGGGGAGGACCCGCAGGGCAGGGACGCGGUGGCUGCUCCCAGCAGAUGUGCGGGUGACACUGUGCGUGCACAACCGGCUCUGUGCACACCAGGAGAGCUGGAGGACUCCGGAGGGCUGCAGUGGGAAGGGGCCUCCUUGCGAAACAGCCCAACCAACUCGCCAGAAAGGAAAACAGAUGCAAAAGGCAAGCUUUUCUGCCAUUAUUUCCCAUUUGAGUCAGAAGAGCUUAAAAGAUAAUGAGUUAAUUGAGCAAUGGAAGCCAUCUCCCUAUAGCUAUGUGUCAGCUCCUAUUAGCUGCUCGGUAACAUUAACUGAGGAUAUACAGAUACUCUCUGGAGAUAUCGAUCAUUUAUUUACCAAGCCCUGUGCUUCCCCUUCCCGGUCGGUGGGCAGGGAUCGCGGGUGGUGGGCAGCCGCUCCAUCACGCCGCGCAGGGCACCGCAGACAGCCGUCAGCUGCAAUUGUUUUCUAGUGAAAAUAGAUGUUCAGUAUUGAUCCUUUUCCUCCAGUAGAGUCCGGGGGGCCUUCUCCUUAGUUACUCUAAUAAAACACAACUAAUUAAAUUUGUGCCUUGCUUUUUCAAUAUUGCAUUAUCCUAAUUACUAAUUAAGGGGACCAAAUGGAAGGGAUAGGCAUUAUUCCCGGCAAAAGAUCCCCUAAUGGCCUAAAUGACAUCUCAGGGAAGGAGGAAAUCUUUCAGCAAAGGCCAGGACUGAAGCUUGGGAAGGGAUCCCUGGGGGCAACUUAACCAGAGGCUCUUUAACUCUUCAGCCGCUGCCUUGGUAUUUGCUGAAUCAUGGAGGAGCUGGGAAAGAACGCGUGCAAAGCUGCCCUGCGCGUGGGAAGCAGCUGACUGGCAGGGAAGCUGCACAAUUCCAAGCGAGGAGAAAUCGGGGAGAAAGUAAAAGG